AGGGUUUGAUCAUGGCUCAGAACGAACGCUGGCGGAAUGCUUUACACAUGCAAGUCGAACGAGUACUUUUUACUAGUGGCGAACGGGUGAGUAACGCGUGGGAACCUACCUUGAGGUAAAGAAUAACUACAGGAAACUGUAGCUAAUGCUUUAUGUGCCCUACGGGGGAAAGAUUUAUUGCCUUUUGAGGGGCCCGCGUCAGAUUAGCUUGUUGGUGAGGUAAUGGCUUACCAAGGCUAUGAUCUGUAGCUGGUUUGAGAGGAUGAUCAGCCACAUUGGGACUGAGAUACGGCCCAGACUCCUACGGGAGGCAGCAGUGGGGAAUCUUGGACAAUGGGGGAAACCCUGAUCCAGCAAUUCCGCGUGAAUGAUGAAGGCCUUAGGGUUGUAAAGUUCUUUUAGUAAGGAAGAUGAUGACGGUACUUACAGAAAAAGCUCCGGCUAACUCCGUGCCAGCAGCCGCGGUAAUACGGGGGGGGCAAGCGUUGUUCGGAAUUACUGGGCGUAAAGAGCGAGCAGGUGGUUCAUUAAGUCAAUUGUGAAAGCUCAAGGCUCAACCUUGAAAUUGCUUUUGAUACUGAUGGACUAGAGUUUGGGAGAGGAUAGUGGAAUUCUAAGUGUAGAAGUGAAAUUCGUAGAUAUUU
rnacentral:rRNA from 1 species